AAUACACCCACAAGAAGAUGUCGGCACCAGUGCAUUGUACUCAUCCCAAAGUAACCUAAGCUUUGUAAAAUAUGUCGAGAUGGAGGCCGUGCCUUGAAGAUGAGAAGCAAUCUCACGGUGCAAGAAAUAAAUUCUUGAGCCAUCAACUUUGUGGAAUUGCUCACUAAGAUCAGUCCAAACGGCUGCUGCACUUGACGCAAACACAAUUCCGGCCAAAAGUUCUUUACUGACAGUAUUGAGUAUCCAAGAGAGCACAAUCGCGUUACACCUCUCCCACUGCUAACCCAUUUCUUCUGGCAAUGAAUCUUUAGAACAAGUGCCAUCCACCAGCCCCAAUUUGUUUUUUGCUAACAGUGCAAUCUUCAUCGUUCGACUCCAAACAUUAUAAUUUUCAACACCGAGUAACUGAUGCGAAACUAACAAAGUUCCUGGGGUGUCAGAUGGAUGCAAAUAUAGUGGGUGAUUGAAGUCAAU
rnacentral:lncRNA from 1 species